rnacentral:rRNA from 1 species
AGUGAACGCUGGCGGUAGGCCUAACACAUGCAAGUCGAACGGCAGCACAGUAAGAGCUUGCUCUUACGGGUGGCGAGUGGCGGACGGGUGAGGAAUACAUCGGAAUCUACUUUUUCGUGGGGAUAACGUAGGGAAACUUACGCUAAUACCGCAUACGACCUACGGGUGAAAGCAGGGGAUCUUCGGACCUUGCGCGAUUGAAUGAGCCGAUGUCGGAUUAGCUAGUUGGCGGGGUAAAGGCCCACCAAGGCGACGAUCCGUAGCUGGUCUGAGAGGAUGAUCAGCCACACUGGAACUGAGACACGGUCCAGACUCCUACGGGAGGCAGCAGUGGGGAAUAUUGGACAAUGGGCGCAAGCCUGAUCCAGCCAUACUGCGUGGGUGAAGAAGGCCUUCGGGUUGUAAAGCCCUUUUGUUGGGAAAGAAAAGCAGCAGGUUAAUACCCCGCUGUUCUGACGGUACCCAAAGAAUAAGCACCGGCUAACUUCGUG